rnacentral:tRNA from 3 species
GCCCUGGUGGUGAAAUCGGUAGACACAAGGGAUUUAAAAUCCCUCGACUUUCGAGUCGUGCCGGUUCA